GAGAGUUCAGGAGCUCGGGGCAGUGGCCUUGUAGCUUCUGCCUCCGCAUUGCAAUCUGGAUACUUGUCUGUCAUUUGUUUAUUUUCUCUGGUUGCAGGCACUGGGUUGUUGAUAAAAAUCCUUGACAUUAUUGGUCCUUCGAGCCGGGGUCCCGGGUUUCUUCCCGACGCCAAAACCACCGCCGGACACCUGUCGCAACAUCUCCAAAAGCCUCCAGCGCUGGCUUUCACUGGAGGUCGGUGCUUGGAUUUUUAUGUUGCUGCAGGGAACCAUACGGAUCCAUGAACUCAAGGCCUGCGCUGAGAGCUCUGGUUGCUGGUGAACUCAUGCUGACAUCAAAGCAGCAGGCCUGCAGACUGAAGGCCAGGGAGGGAAAGGCGAACACCUACCGAGUGAGAAAAUAAACGGAGCUGGAAUGUCCCCUCAACUGCCUCGAACCGUUGCCCACAACUCCAAUGGACCUUUAGCGGAAAAGAACCGAGCCCAUCCGCGGCGACUCGGACUACCUCCUCUCCAACGUCCCUGGAUUCAUACACAGUGCAGCUGAAAAUGAGCUUCUAAUGUCUUCUUAAUGAAACUGUAGCACAUUCAGCUAGCCGAUUAGAGAGGGGCUUGGAGCAGACAAACAGAAGCAGACUACACAGAGCCAGCUACUCGGAUGGGAUUAACAGGCCCUAAAAUGACUAAUAUGCUCUAAAAGCUAUAUUCAGACACAAAUACUCAAAAGCACAGAUGUAGACUGUAGUCCAACACUUGUUUAUAGCGCCCCACACAAGAGCAUGUGCACAUUUGCACAGGCGGUCUAAAUAUAAGGAGCCGUACUCUAAAACUCACUGAGGAGCAGCUGGAAUCCAUGCAGAUCGCAGGGAUUAGAGACUGAAAUCAUCCACCAUGAACAAAACACUGUGUGACAUUUUGAGUAAUUAUCUAAAUGAAAACUAGUCAUUACAACCUUUCCGUCUCAUCUUUUACCUCCUUUCCAGUAAACAAGUCCACAAUAGAAACACAAAGUUUCCCGUUGACAGUGAAAAACACAGAAUUUGAAUACAACAGUCCUGAAACGCACACAGUGUGCUCCAGGAUUUCAACUCAAAGUACAGACAACAUUCAUUUUUAAGUCAUUUAUAAUAUCCCAUUGUUUUUAAUAACAGCAUUUUUGCAAAGUUCAGAUGUUAUAAAUCGAAGUACUGCUUCCAAAUCAAGUCAGUAAUUGUAAAGCUGCACAAGCGUCGAGAUCACAUGAAAGAGAACAUGUCAGAAAAAACUAAAGCGAGGGUUCGUGUAAUUUAAAGUUUAAAGGUGUGGAACACUGAAAAACCCUGUUUUAAUGAUCAUAUCUGAUUAUAAUCUUUCACUCUGAGCAUAAAGUGCAGGCUGAACAUGAAAAUAGUCUCCUACACCUACCUCCUGCUUUAGCUUCUGAUAGAAAACAAACGGUGAAACUCUAGGAUUAGAAAAUCCUGACAGAUCUACAUCACACUGUCACUAACAUUCAUGGACUCACCCAUCUGGAUUCACGACGAGGAAGGCUGUUGUUGGUUUAGCGUCCAGGAAACAGCAGAGAACGUCUCGGCUAGUAGAAGUUAACGGUUAGCAUUAGCAUCACCACCACACAGCAGAACUCCUCUAGGCUUGUGUUAUUUGUGGAGAUUAAACAUCAACAUUGCAGAGCACACAGAGUCAGUGGUAGUCGUGUUGCUGUCAGCCAAUCAGAGGAAAGACAUCCACAUAUCAGGAGGUAAGACUCCAGAUUCUGCCGUCUGAAGCUCAGCUGUGAUGUCACAGAUUUAGCCCUGCUGAAACAGGUGGGCUGCUUAGUGCCCCGAGUGCUGCCUGCAAGGCAUCCGUUCCUUCUAGAGACCACUGCAGAUGUACUGAUUAAAGAGUAAUCCACACCUUUAAGAUCGACUCACUUCUUACACUAAAUUGAAACUAUACUUUCCCUAAUCUGAACAGAGACAAGAAGUUGCUGCUGAUCGUUAAGUGUAGCGGUGAGGAUUGGCUGUUUGUUAAAUGACCAAUAAGAUGUGAUGUUCCAUCUAAAUAUGAAAUAUGAACCUUUUUGGUCUUUGAACAUUAGCCUUAAUAUUCCUUUUGGUUCUUUAACUAUUCAGGGAACACACACUUCAUAUUAAUCCAGAAAGAGUCGGGAUAUAGUUGAUAAAAAUGAAUUUAAUUACAUUUUCCUAAACUAAAUGAUUAUACAUGAUGUAAGCUAGAUGUUUUAGCAGAACCUUGUAAGUAUCUGAGAGAUCUUGUGAUGUCUGGGCUGUAAAAUCAGUUUGGCUGUCUGGUUUGAUAAACUAAGAUUAUUCAUAAAACUGACGUCAUUUGUGCCGAGUCCACGAUACCCUUGUAUGGAGGUCCCCGUGGUGAUCCAGGGGGUCAAGAGGCCGGGAUGGACACUGCUGGUGGAGGGACCUCUGGGCAAGGAACCCGUAGGAAACUUUCACGGCCCGUCUAGUCUCAGAUACUUUCAGGAAGCUGGAGUAUCUGUUUAGCGUCUGAGGUGUUCGGUGGCUCUUAAGAGUCGUUGAGUCUGAUAUCACUCACAAGUGUUGCUGAGAGAUGUUUUGACCUGAGGUCAAAAGAGAGAAUGGUUCCAAAUGCUUGCUCAUCGUCGGCCAAACCAGGAGGCCGCAGGAUAACUGAGGAAUCAGGAAGUGAUUCCUGUAUUUAUAAACUUUAUUGUUGGUAAAUUUAGACAAAUCUGAAUUUGACAAGUUUAAAGGCAUUACCAAAGACCUCAGAGAUCCCUCCUCCACUCAUAUCCUCAGAGGUUUUCUCUUAGUGUGAAGUAAAAUGUUAAACAUAAAUAAUAAUGAUAUCAUUGUGUUUGUACUGAUUACAUUACUGGAAUCAACACAUACUGAUCUGGAGAAGUUUAAGAUCUGACAUGAAUCAUUACAGGAAACUUUCAUUUUAACCCAUCAUUGAUGGGAUAAUGCACACAUUAUUAAAACACUUUGGAUUUAAACAUCUUGUUCAUUCAACACAUGUGAUUAUAUCAACCUGUAAAGUUGUAAAGUCAUUUAUGAUUCAAGGAAGAUGAACUUUAUUCAGAGAGUGGAGGUCUCGACUUCUGCGUGAGGCCUUUGGUUUCAGCUUGGAUAAAGGGAAUCAGGAGAAGGGUUUAUUAUGGCUUCCCUUCUUGGCAAAAAGGUCGUAGACACAGUUAAGAUGUGUCGCACAACACUACAUGCAGGGCGAACAGCCUGGACACUUCCGUGUGAUGACCUUUGACCUUACAGUGGCAAAUAACCAAAUUGUUGUCCUUUGGUAUGCUACAUAUUUGGGGCAGCAGUAGCUCAGGUGGUAGAGCGGAUUGCCUCAUGAUCGGAGAGCGGAUUGCCUCAUGAUCGGAGGGUCAUGGGUUCGAUUCCAGCUCCCGCCAGGGGUAUCCUGCUGUUGUGUCCUUGGGCAAGACACUUCACCCAACUUGCCUGUGUUAGUGGUGGUCAGAGGGGCCGACGGCGCCAAAUGGCAGCCUCGCCUCUGUCAGACCUCCCCAGGGCGGCUGUGGCUACAAGUAGCUUACCAUCACUAGCAGUGUGUGAAUGUGAGAGUGUGUGAACGCGUCUUUGGGUGUCUAGAAAAGCGCUAUAAAGUUCAAUGCAUUAUUAUUAUUAUUAUUACAUAUUCACUAAAGGCUCUUGAUUAUUCUCAUGACCUGCAAAAGCAGGGGGUUGAUGGUCAAGUCAGAGGAAGAAGACCAAAGCAAUCGGUAUAAUUAUACAAGUCUUAGGAUGCAUCACAACAACGCCGGUGUCGUCAUGUUACACGUCUGAGCCAAGAAUACCUCCAUGCUCCCAAGUCAAACCAGCUAUGUUUAAUAUCGGCCCAGAAUAGCCAAGGCUACAGGAAUCCCAGUUACAGAGCAGAUCCACAGGGAGCUCCAGCAGAGCCUUCAACUUUCCGUUAGGUUGGCUCUACACAGAUGUUUGUCUUUCGUUAUCUGAAGGCGAGAAGCUGCGGUUUAGCGCAGAUCUUUAAGGAAGGGACAGAAAACAUUUAGUUUGGUUGUUUUAAUGUUUUCAUUUUUUAAAGAAAUCCUAGCAGCGAGCUACAUAUAUAUAAAUAAACUGUCCUCUCCAUAAAACAGAGGUGUUGACAAGAGCACACAGGUGUGUGUUGACAAAACCCCACAGAGAAACGAGACAUCAGCAACGAUUUCACAGAAAUGGUUGUUGCUGAAUAUCCAUCAGAGUUGGCUUUGAACUUUUUCAAAGAAGUUGGAGUGCAUCAUUCACAAACAGCUCCCAGUACUAGUCCGCAUACUGGAAAAUUCCCUCUGAUUAAUUUUCAUGCAAAAUCUAAAAUGACUUAAGAGCUACACCUCACUCAACUUAAGUCAUUACCGCAAACCCAAACACUUAAGCAGGUGAUUCAGUUCUGCAGAGCCUGCAGACGUGUUUAUUCAGCUCCACACUUUAGUGCUUUAAUUCCUUCAAAUCAUGGUUCACUUCUGUCACCGAUUGCUGGAUUUUGUUGGACUAAAACAAUCUUUUGGAUCCAUCAGAGGCAGCUCAGCCACAGUAGUUGGUCUCUGUAGCCUGUUGAAGCUAUGUUGAAUGUCCGUCCUCCCCCUCCUCCUGCCCCAUAAUGAUGACUUGUUGCUCUCUAAAGCAAAUAAAAGGAUUCAGGACCUUAAAGAGGGUGUACGACUUCUCUCUGCUGAGCUUCAAAAUAAGUAAAUGUUUCUGGGUGGUUUUAGAAAUCGUGUCCCUUCACUGUCCAGUAGGGAUGUGAAUCUCCACCCGAGGCGGAUUUGAUUCGUAUCUCCAUACACCUCCAGCGAUGCGAUUAGCCAUAUGGUAAAAGCCUCCGCCGACACGAUAUGAUACGAUUCAACACAUUAAAAAGACUUCACAAGCCCAAAUCUGGUUUUUAAACAUAACAAUGCUUCCCUCUCUGUGAAGGAUGUAUGAGAUCCUCUAUUAGUCUAAUCAAUAAAUUCAGCAUGAAAACAAAUGCACUUAAUCAGUGACGUUUAAUGACUUCUGAUUCUGUUGUGAGCAGAGUUACUCCAUCUUCUUGUUCUUUUCUUACACAGUUUAGUAAAGAUAGUUUUUUACCUGACAUGUUUCAGCUAGCAUCCCUAGCCAUCAUCUGAUGACCCUAACCUCAUUUCAACAAAGUUGUAGCAAUAAAAAUAUAUGUAGAGUUCAACUUAUAAUUAUUAGGAAUUAUUAUGAAACACUGAAAGCUAAUUUUUAAAUAUUGUAAUGAUCGACAAGGGGCUAUAGUGAGAGCUGCUGUAGCCUAAAGUUACUGUUCCUUUAAGAGAAACGUGAACGCUGGAGAUGUGAGGUUAUCUCAGCUGUGUAUUGGACUUCUCUGAAGCACUGUUAAGGGCAAAAUGUCACUCAGUCUGGAGUUUUUAAGUUCUGCACAAAUGUCACAAGAAUAAGGAAUUAUCUUACAUUACCGCACACAAAGCUUCAGGUGCGCGGAUCCUAAAAGUGCUCGGAAAAAUACGGAGUCACCGUGUCACGAAGAAGGUUAUUUUUUCUUGGCAAGUACAGAAAGCACAUACGCCGGUUAAAAUUGACCCACUAUGGCUGUGCAAUGGGAAACUUCUAGUUUCUGCUAAGAGAUUGAUGAUGCGUUCAAUGCACCUCAAAAAACAAAGACAUAACAGGUAAACUAUGAAGUAAUCGAUAUAACCAUUGUUUUUACCGACGAGAGACACGCAUGGAAAUAUUCUUUGCAAUAUAGCCGUGAGUUAUCACUGAUGCAACCUGAAGCUAGUGGUUCAGUCUUCUGAACCAACCACCAGUGCAGAUUGGUGAAUCUCCAUCCCUACACCCAUGAGUAAGUGUCUGGCGUGCAUUUUUGUAAGUCUUAGGUUGUAUGUGUAUGUGAGAGCAUGAGGGAGGGAGUGUGUGACUGUGUUUGUGUAUGACUGUAUAUGUCAGGUGGGGCCUUUGACUCCUCCCCUCUCCUGGGACUUUUUUUUUUACUGCUACACAUCUUCGCCUCCUCUCCCCCUGCCACACUUUGUAUGGAGUGUGGUGCCUUGGUCUGCCUGAGUGUUUGCGGCUCCCGGGUCAGGGGGGUUUAAGAUUUUUGGCGGCUGCCUGAUUAUUCUCAGUGGCUGCCUGGUGGGAUCUGAGUCCCUGAGCUCUGUUGGGUCCCCGGCGGGGCUGGUCGCCUCUGGGUCCUGACUCACAGGGUUCCGGGCUCAGCCGACUUGGGGGUGGGAGGCUGCGGCGGGCGGGCCUGUGGGCUUGCCGCUGAUAUCAAUCAAUCAAUCAAUCAAUCAAAGCUUUAUUUAUAUAGCGCCUUCCGCAACCCUGUCAGGAAGCCCAAAGCGCUGAACAUGGUACAGUUGUAAGUAAUUAUAUUGAAUAAAUCAACAAUAAAAGAAAUUCAAAUUACAAAAUACAAAUUACAAAAUACAAAAUGGAAAUUACAAGAUAGAAGAAACAUUCCGGUAAAAUACAAAUGUGUGAAACACAUUUGGAUUCAGUGGAUGGAUUGAGUGUACCAAUGAAAACUGUGGAAUGGAUUCAACAUAAAAGAGGGCCAAAAUCAAACAUGUUCUGGAAACGCCAAGCGGAGGAGGUGUGUUUUUAGGUGAUUCUUAAAGACUGGCAGAGAAGGGGACAGCCUAACUGAGGGUGGCAACUGGUUCCAGAGUAACGGUGCUAGGACUGAGAAAGCCCGGUCCCCACGGGUACGACACCUAGACCGAGGGACAGCGAGCAGGCCUUGGUCAGAGGAGCGCAGAGCGCGUGAUGGGGAGUGUCUGUUCAGGAGAGUGGCCAGAUAGGGGGGACCACCACUCUGGAAGAAAUGAUAAACAAAGACGAGUAUUUUGAAUUGUGAGCGAUAGCAAAUCGGAAGCCAGUGCAGGGAGCCCAGAACUGGGCUAAUGUGGUCCCGUUUCCUGGUCCCAGUCAGGAACCUGGCAGCGCUGUUCUGCACAACCUGUAGGCGACGCAGUGUUGACUGACACAACCCUGCAUAGAGAGAGUUGCAGUAAUCAAGCCGAGAAAUAACAAAGGCAUGCCGGUAUCCCCUGGGACUCUGCCGGCAGCUGGUUGUGGCCCCCCGGGGCAGACGCUAGUUCAUCAUUGAUUGUUUAUUUUUGUGGACCCUCUACCUCAAACCCUCCAGUUCCACAGGAAAUCCAACCCAGGAUCCUCUGAUGAAUCCUGGCAUUGUCAUCUUGGAAUAUGACUGUGCCAUCAGGGAAGAAAAAAAUUCAUUGACAGAAUAACCUGGUCAUUCAGUGAAUCCACUUUUUCCUUCAUAUCACAAGUGACUGCUUUAAACCUCCACUGGUACCAGAGUGGAUAUUCUGACUAACUACUUCUGCAUUGGGGACUAAACGUGGCACACCUGUACAUUAGUCAUGCUGAAGCCCCUUGAUAUGCCCCAUCUGUGAGGUGGGAUAUAUUAUGUUGAUAAUGGAAAAGUGCUCACCAACACACAUGCAGACAUAUUUCAGAACAACAUUUGAGAGUCAUGGGUCUAUUUUGCAUGUAGAAAAAGUUUCAGACGUUUGAGUUCAGCUCAUUAAAAAUGGGAGCAAAAACUAAAUGGGAGCAAAAACUAAAGUGUUGAGUUUAUAUUUUUGUUCAGUGUAUAUUACUGCCGACACCGGGAGACAAACCGCUGUUGUAGCAGCAUUUUGUCGGCGCAAGUGUGAGCAGAGCUACUUUGAAACAGACCUUUUGGGUUCCAGGUAUAACUUCAAGUUGACAAAAACUCAUAUUUAAGAUAAAACGGCAUUUCAAUAGUGCCAACAGUAAUAUUUUAUGUCCCUACCUUUGCUCUCACAGAUUUAAAAUUGCAUGAUCUGGCUCCUUUAAAAAGCAGUUGAAGACCCUUUUAUUUAAAGCUGCUUUUUAAAGGCCCCAUGUGUGAAAUCCAUUGAAAUCAUAAUGAAAAAAUGCGACUCUUUAGCGCCGUGCAGUUCAGAGAAAGUAUUGCAGCUAUGGUGGCUCACUCAUGAGUUUGAUAAUCAGUUUCCAACCUGUGUAGCCUAACACACACAAAGCUUACAACUAGCUACUUGACCUCUUUAAAAAGCAUUUAUAAUCAUGACUGUUUUACUAACCUACUAAUCCUGAAGGAAGCAAGCUAGUUCUGUUAGAUCUUGAAGCUGUCACCAUUCACGCACGGAGGAGCCGGGAGGUCAGGUGUUGUGAGAAAUUUUACUUCCCUAAAAUAUUCUGUCCCCCUGUGUCAGGAGAUUGCACUUCAGGCUAUUUUCACAACAUUUGUGAUCAACUUUUACCGGAAAAUGAUGUAAUCUAAUGUAAUAAUGUUAUGCUUGUGAUUUUUUUAUCUGUAUUUCCUCCUAAAAACAAUAAAAAAAAGAUACAGUAAAAACAUUCUUGUUCACUCUUUUCUGUCAAGUUUAUUUAUCAUUUUUCAAAGUUAUGUAAAAAGAUGUAAUCUCACUCAGUUUUACCAUCUUUUAUUUGAGGAAGUUUAGUCCUCAUAAUGGACUUUAAGUUCUGUGGAUUUGGAAAUAUUUGCUCAACUGCC